GGGGCGGAGCCUGCGGUCGGGUCUCGGCGACCCGCCGGGACUUUCUAAUCAGAGUCGUGGGGAUUUUACGGGUGGAGUUACUCCGAAACCUUUAAGGCCGAGUGUGAUAGAUAUUUGCAACCAUUCUUCCAAUCAAUUUUAGAAAAUUUCCACCACCUCAAAAAGAAAUCCUGAUGAAGAAACAUCCUGAGAAGGUUGACAUGCUGAAUGCCUUAAAGAACUUCAAUUGGGAUGCCAGAUGAAAGUGUAACUAGAAUUUCUAUGGCUUAAAUAACGAGAGCUGGAGUGCAGUAGCAUGAUCAUGGCUCACUGCUGCCUCGACCUCCCGGGCUCAGAGAUUCUCUUGCCUCAGCCUCCUGAGUAGCUGGGACCACAGAGAUGGGGUCUCUCUGUUGCCCAGGCUUGUCUGGAACACCUGGGCUCAAAUAAUCCUCCUGCCUUG
rnacentral:lncRNA from 1 species